rnacentral:lncRNA from 1 species
AUGGGACUCAGGAGACAGGAGGCAGGGGGAGGCCUGGGGGGUGGGGGCGGCCGCCGGGCAUCUGGGCCUCUCCCUCCCCUGGCACCACCGCACCCCGCACCCCUCCCACACACACCCUCGCCGGAAAGUUCCCCAGCCCAGGCCGGGCUCCCAGGCAGCUUGGCACCGUGCCAGGCUCGCCGCCGAGCGCGGGCAGCCGGGUGGGGCGAGCGGCGGCGGCACCGAGGACAUGGCCGGGCGCCCUGGGCGCGAGCAGGACCCAAGGCCGGGAGGCCGGGGCCCAGAAGAAGGCGGCUGGUCCCAGAGCACCUCGGAGAAAGCGGACGCCUGUCUUGGCCUUUGGAAGACGCUCAAGGACCACGUGGCCGGGUCCACGGUCUCUGCCCUGCGCCUCGAGGGCGAGGCAGCCCAGGUCUUGCCCUUCUUGCCGUCCACUUCGCCCCCAGCCGACGCCUGGAGCUUGAGGUGACUGAGCGCUCUCAGGCCAGCUCGGCCCUGGACCUGCUCGGCUCUGGACCUGCCCAUCUCCGUCAACGCACGAGGCCCCCGUGCCCCAGGUCAAGAAGUGGCGCCAAGGGGGGAGCUUCUGUCCGAGGCCAGCCUUCCUUCCGGCUGGACUUGGCCUGCACGAGCCACGGUCUGUGUCGCAGGGUGUCUGGAUGGAAGAGCAGCACUGGGCCCCGUCUCCCUCUCCGCCCUGAGGACCCGCCGUUCCUGGCUCCCAGGCAGGUGCGCCUGCCCCCCUCCCAACCCCAGGCUCACCCUGCCCCCUUCUCUCCACCCGGCCGGGCGCCAGCCCUCGACCUGCUGCCAGCUGUCAACAUGCGACGCACACAGGUGAGUGUUACCCGGGGCAGGAAAGGCUGGAUGAGGAGAACCAGUGACAUCUGCUUCUCCCAGACGGGGCUGGGGGCACCGGGGGCUUGCGGUGACGGCCGGGGUGGCCCAGGGUGUGUGAGUGUACGUCUGUGUGCUAUUUCUCCCCCCGCCCCCGCCCCCCGCCUCUCCUGA